rnacentral:rRNA from 1 species
GUGAGGAAUUUUCCGCAAUGGGCGAAAGCCUGACGGAGCAAAGCCGCGUGAAGGAUGAAGGCCUAUGGGUUGUAAACUUCUUUUCUCAGAAAAGAAUUAUGACGGUAUCUGAGGAAUAAGCAUCGGCUAACUCUGUGCCAGCAGCCGCGGUAAGACAGAGGAUGCAAGCGUUAUCCGGAAUGAUUGGGCGUAAAGCGUCUGUAGGUUGUUUAAAAAGUAUUCUGUCAAAGAUUAGGGCUUAACCCUAGAUAGGCAGAAUAAACUUUUAAGCUAGAGUUUGGUAGAGGCAGAGGGAAUUCCCGGUGGAGCGGUGAAAUGCGUAGAUAUCGGGAGAAACACCAAAGGCGAAAGCACUCUGCUGGGCCAAUACUAACACUGAGAGACGAAAGCGAGGGGAGCAAAUGGGAUUAGAAACCCCGGUAGUCC